rnacentral:rRNA from 2 species
GGGUGCGAUCAUACCAGCACUAAUGCACCGGAUCCCAACAGAACUCCGCAGUUAAGCGUGCUUGGACGAGAGUAGUACUAGGAUGGGUGACCUCCCGGGAAGUCCUCGUGUUGCACCCC